rnacentral:rRNA from 1 species
UACGUAGGGUCCGAGCGUUGUCCGGAAUUACUGGGCGUAAAGAGCUCGUAGGUGGUUUGUCGCGUUGUCCGUGAAAACUCACAGCUCAACUGUGGGCGUGCGGGCGAUACGGGCAGACUGGAGUACUGCAGGGGAGACUGGAAUUCCUGGUGUAGCGGUGGAAUGCGCAGAUAUCAGGAGGAACACCGGUGGCGAAGGCGGGUCUCUGGGCCGAUACUGACACUGAGGAGCGAAAGCGUGGGGAGCGAACAGG